AAAGAGAUGGUGGGCCCCCGCGCCCCCGUCCCCAACCCUUUGUUGACCAAAACAUUUUUGCCUCGGGGGCAGAGUGGCUGUCAGGCCGCCGCCCCCAGAGGACCACUUAACCCUGUCUCUGUACGUCGGAGUUUUUGAUAAAUUAAUCA
rnacentral:misc_RNA from 1 species